CAUGAUCCGGCUCCUCACACUGCAGCCACUCUUUAAAAGAGCCAGUUUCCUCUUAUGAUAUCCAGAAAAGAGGACUGUUUAGAAGUCAUUAAGGUUGUGGUACUUCUGAGCACACUGAUUCAAACUCAGCUAUGGGCUGUUCUUCCUUCCGGUGUGAGGAACACUUCAGAAUUAGUAUUUUCGAGCACACAUGUAUGUAAGGAUUUGCCAGAAAGCUGACUGGAACUGAGAGAGCAUGCAAACAUCUGGAGCACCUUCAUUUUUUCAGACUGAGGCUGAAGUUCCCAGUGACACCGCCUGGUUAGAUGACUAAUUAGAUUACCAAAGCAGGAUCACUGUAGGACUUUGCUGCCAAUUGUCUUCUACUUGAUACUACUGGCAAUGACACCUGUCAAGCUCUUCUUGCCUGAAACAACCUCUGUACCCAGCAAGUGCAUAUACAUUAUACAGUACAAAAGACAGGUUAAUCAGUAUUUUUAAUUCUGAUUUUUAUAUUUAGAGUCCAUGUGCAAGAUCAAGUAGCACAUGAAAGGAAUAAAUUCAUAUUUGCUUAGGAAUUGUCAGCAAAAUCAACACUGUACUUCUAAUGAGCUGUGUCUUUUCUGAAUAGGUUAUUUCUUCAAAGUCAGCAAGUCCUGGAGCACAUUUUUUCCUCGGAAUUCCAUUACAUUAGAUGGCCAUAAGUGCCUUAGUAGCUCUGCUUUCCUGUUUACCAAAAAAGUUAUCUCACAGCAAGCUUACAGGGAACAUUCAACACAAUCUUCUUUUUGCAAACAUGCAUUUUUAAAGACAACAUUUAUACCAUAUUAUGCCAUCCUUAUGAAUAAGUUGCAAUCCUGAAGUUACUAUAUUCCCAGAACUGGGAAAUGUUACUCUCUCCUCUGCUGUCAGUGGAAAAGACUCCCUGACAAGUUUUCCACCUACCACUGCCUGCAGUCACAGAAAUGUCUCUCACUCAGCUGUAGCUAAUUGCUGCCAGUUAGAAACGCAAGCAGACAGCACUGGUUCUUCUUUGUCAAAAAUUUCUGAACCACAAACUACUAAUAUGAAAAGAACAGGCAGCUUCUGGCUUAUGAUACCUCAUUUCCUGGAAAAAUAAAUAAAUAACGUGGCCUCUGUGCUGAUUUCUGUUGCUGCUGCCCGAAAGAGUAUCUGCCCAUCUCAAAAGCUGCUGCCUUGAGUGCUCUGCUCUGUCACUUCCAUCUCUUCAUGUGACCCUUGAUUCCUCCCAUUACAGUCUUGGGUCUGUCACUGGCAAUUAUCCAUCAUUUGAGCACUGACAUGUAACUACAAGUAAAGGACACCUGAUCUGUCAUUGUGCUCGCUGAUGAAACUUAGUGGUGUUAUAUAUAUAUCAUAAAAACACCACAUACACACCAGGGAGCUUUUUCUGUGAUAGGGAUGUUAGCAAGUGAAAUGCAAACUAAAGAACAAGAGAAUAUGUUUUUAAAAGGCACAGUUAAUUAUUCAAGAUUUUUUAAAAUUAUUCUUAUGGCAAAAACACUGUAAAAAGUGAAUUUGAUGUCACAUUUUGGAAGUACUCACAGAAAACGUUUUCUGUUACCAAAUUGAAAUGUAUUCUUCAGAAGUUUUGGAAACUACUUAGUCAGUCAAUGUGUAGGACUCAGAACAUACAUCUUCUCUGGUCCAUUACACCUAAGCCAUAUAUAAAUCAACCUCAGAGCAAAGCAGUCAAGCACUAGAAAUUGAAUAAUUAAUAUUUUUGAUGUCAUAUCUGUCUUUUUGUGAUUAUUCUACAAAAGAUGUUUAAACUGUUGAAUAUACUACUCCAUUAAUCAUUUGACACUAGUUAUAACUAUAUGCUCCAAAAUACAAAGUGAAGGGAGAAAAAAAAUAUACACAUACAUUCAUGUUGUUUUCCACUUGUGUUUAAAUUCUCUAAUAUUUCUUCCUUUUUGCUGAUAACAUUAUAGAAUGCCUUAUUGAUGGUGACUUGCCAUCAUUUUCAUGAAAACAUAAUCUUAUUGGUGUCAUAACUUAUUUCUGAGGUUGUUUGACAUCAUGUCAUGGAUUAAAACGGUCUUUAAUUUAAGUACCAAGAACACAGAAAGCCAUAAAAAUCUCAAAACAGCCAAUCUAACUUAAUUUGUUGUGACAGUAAGCGAAGAUGAAGGAAUUAAAACUGCAGUGACUCUAAUGUGAACUGUUGUAAAUGUUCAGGCAUAUAUGAGUUGAAUUUGAAUUAUAGAAAAUCG
ensembl:lncRNA